UAACCGGAUAGCUUUAGCGGGCAAUAAGCGGGAGUCAUUACCCCGUUUCCGGUUAUUCCCUUUCGUAAUG
rnacentral:ncRNA from 1 species